UGAAAAACAUAGGGAUAGAACUCAUGCCGAAGGAACGUUGGAAGCUGCUGAAGACUCUGCCUAUCACCUCUGCUGGUACCGUGUAUCACAACCGACUGUUGGAUGGUGUGAAAACUUUUCACAGAGGGAAAGGUUUUAUAAAUAAACUAGAAACCAUUAUGGAAAACCUGAACUACAAUGUUGAGGAAAAAGACAUGAAAGGGCUGCGGAGCUUCCUGAUAUCUGAUGGUA